AUUAAUAUUGAAGUUUUUAAUCAAGCAAGGAAGGGCUAAGUUCGAGUGCAACCGAAAAUUUUAUACUUUUUCAAUUUGCGACAAUCAAAUCCAGCGACAUAACUUAAGGUGUAAAAUUUCAACCAGAAGAUCGAAAUAUAAGCAGUUUAAUAUGUUGUGUCCGAUGAAGGAUGUGUGUUGAAAUGUUACGGGAUCAGAAUUCGCAUAAACAUCUCGACCCCCAGGCGAAUUAAUUGCCUAGAAGUUUCUGCAUACUUUGUAGUGUUCUUAAAACAGCGUCGAAUUCCGCUGGCUUGCGCAGCUGGUUGCGUUGACCAUGGUGUGGUGGAGGUGUCCGAAAGCAUGCACCUCGGUACUGCUUGGGUGGAUGGAUUCUUCUGCGUUCGACCUGCUCUCGUGUUGAUUGUGCCAAUGACUACGGUGCAUUGACGGAUUGGCUCGUCGAGAAGCAUGAAACAAUGUGUGAUGCGGUCGGUGGCAAUAUUAACAAGACCCGUAGGACAAACAAUCAAAAGUGGAAUGAGUGUCAGCAAGCAAGUCAUAUAGUGGCCGUGGGCUUUAGCGAUCUGUUGGCGUUCAGCGGGCUUCAAACUCCUGAAAUUCGUGCACCUCUUCAGGACGUGUGAUUGAUGGCAUAAGAUACAUCGUGGAGGCGAAUCAUCUUCAGCGAUUUUUUUCAUAAUUUUUUUUUUAUUAUUAUUUUACAUUGUACCUAGUAUGUAAAGAUAAAAUACCAAGAAUAA